rnacentral:rRNA from 1 species
AGGGAAACCGAGUCUUAACCGGGCGUUAAGUUGCAGGGUAUAGACCCGAAACCCGGUGAUCUAGCCAUGGGCAGGUUGAAGGUUGGGUAACACUAACUGGAGGACCGAACCGACUAAUGUUGAAAAAUUAGCGGAUGACCUGUGGCUGGGGGUGAAAGGCCAAUCAAACCGGGAGAUAGCUGGUUCUCCCCGAAAGCUAUUUAGGUAGCGCCUCGUGAAUUCAUCUCCGGGGGUAGAGCACUGUUUCGGCUAGGGGGCCAUCCCGGCUUACCAACCCGAUGCAAACUGCGAAUACCGGAGAAUGUUAUCACGGGAGACACACGGCGGGUGCUAACGUCCGUCGUGAAGAGGGAAACAACCCAGACCGCCAGCUAAGGUCCCAAAGUCAUGGUUAAGUGGGAAACGAUGUGGGAAGGCCCAGACAGCCAGGAUGUUGGCUUAGAAGCAGCCAUCAUUUAAAGAAAGCGUAAUAGCUCACUGGUCGAGUCGGCCUGCGCGGAAGAUGUAACGGGGCUAAACCAUGCACCGAAGCUGCGGCAGCGACGCUGAUGCGUUGUUGGGUAGGGGAGCGUUCUGUAAGCCUGUGAAGGUGUGUCGUGAGGC